ACUCAGGUUGAGGGAGAAAAAUAAAAAUGGAGAUAUCAUAAAGCAGCAAAAAAAUAUUCUAAAGCGUAACCUACCGCCUAUUUUGGUAUAUGUUAUGUGGGCGGCAAACAGUUUUAAGCGUUUUAUCCGUUUGGGGGCGUUACAGUAGGCGUGGAAAAUAUUUUUUAAGUCAGAAUAAUAAAACAAAUACAUUUCUCAUAGAAUCAUGUGAGACGUUUUCAGCCAAUGAUUCCUCACUCAUCAUGUGGUCGAGGGUGCACAAAUGUGACUUUGUUAGUUCAGUGCCGCUAGCUCAGUCUGCCUCAGGGCAGAGUUCCCCUAAUGCCACAGCUUGCAACAUAAAAAAAAUGGACAACUCCGCUGUCUCGCAUAACUGAAACUAUCGGAAAUCACUAAGAACAAAACGUAAACAAAGGUGAAUAUUUAAAAACAUCGACGAUAUUCGGGCCAAGCGCUUCCUCCCUACCAUGGGUACCCUCUAUAUGCUGCUGGGCACCACCCAAACUCUGCCGGACGGCGCCCCUCCUCGCGACUACGGCGGUUCCAUCUUCCCCACUGGGACAUUUACUCACACAUGGUAGAUUUUACAAACAUUUCAUGAAUAUGACCAAGACUUGGCCACCGUCUUCAGGACUUAAUCGAAGUAUUUAGUCGAACUCCCAAGUAAAUCUGCAAAGUAUGUAGUCAAACUCCCAAGUAAAUCUGCCGGGGCCCUUUGUGUCGGGACCCUUGUUGCCCUAUAAAUGCUUAAUAAUAAAUACCGAACUCUAUUUUAACUAACAAACUACA